AUUCAAAUGUGGGUUCAAAAUGACAUGUGUGUCCUGGGGAAGCUUGUUACCCAGUGAGGGAAGCUCUGUCAACACAAAGUUCAGGGAUGUGUUGGGGACACAUGGUUUCUAACAGGAUUAUGCCUUGAACCCUCAGCUUCUACAGUUGUAUCGUCCAUGUGUCAUAUAUUUGCUCUUUCUCAUACUGGGUCAGGAAUUGGGCUAUUAAAUAGCAUCCUUCAUAAAUAUGCAAAUAACUGAGGUGAAUAUAGAGAUCUCUGUGACUGAGAGCAUCACCCAACAACCACACCCCUCCUCGAGAGAAGCCUCUAGAGCACAGCUCCUCACCAUGGACUGGACCUGGAGGAUCCUCUUCUUGGUGGCAGCGGCAACAGGUGCCCACUCCCAGGUGCAGCUGGUGGAAUCUGGGGCUGAAGUGAAGAAGCCUGGGUCCUCAGUGAAGGUCUCCUGCAAGGCUUCUGGAUACACCUUUACCAGCUACUAUAUGCACUGGGUGCGACAGGCCCCUGGACAAGGGCUUGAGUGGAUGGGAUGGAUCAACCCUUACAAUGGUAACACAAAGUACGCACAGAAGUUCCAGGGCAGAGUCACCAUAACCAGGGACACAUCCACAAGCACAGCCUACAUGGAGCUGAGCAGCCUGAGAUCUGAGGAUACAGCCGUGUAUUACUGUGCGAGAGACACAGUGUGAAAACCACAUCCUGAGAGUGUCAGAAACCCCAGG